GUCCUGACGAAGAGUCCCAAACUAGGAUGAAACAGCUGUCCAGUAC
rfam:Trichobilharzia regenti genome assembly, scaffold: TRE_scaffold0052694